UAAUGACUCCAUGGAUAAAAAGGUUGACGAUGAUGGAAUGAGUAAGGCUAUUGAUUGAAAUGUAACUGAAGGGGUCGAAGAUAACAAUGAAGAGGCUGAAGGUGAAUCGGAAAGUGACAGUGAGCAUGAAUGAAGAAAAUUUGGUGAUAAUGAUGAGAAUAGUAUUAAUAAUAGUGAUUUCUGUAUUAAUACAAACAAUGUAGAGGGGGAGAAUGGUAUUGAUGGGACAGGUGAGGGGGUG
rnacentral:lncRNA from 1 species